AUACAAUGUACUGCUCAGUUUCUCUGGAGGAGCAGAAUCGACAGAAAGGAAAUGUACAAUUAAGCAAGGGGAUUUAUUAGGUAUCUUACAGACUCAGAAGUGGGAGAAUUCACAACUUUCUUCUGCAUGGCAAAGAGCCAGAGGACCUGCUCAGGGCUGCGUAGUCCAAGAAGAUGAAAGCCAAGGGACCAUGAAUGGAGCCCAGUUCAAGGUGACAGGCCUGGGAGCUCCCUGGAGAGUCCCUGGUAGGAGUCUGCACUGCAAGGCUGAAAAACCAGAGCCUGACCUCAAGAGCAAGGACAGCAAAAGAUGCACCUGCUCAAGGGCGCUGCAGCUCUUGCAAACCGGGCACCAGCUUCAUUCCAUAUUUAUUCCAGUCUGUCGGAUGCUGCCCCCACACCCGGGAUAGGUCUUCCCCUGUGCGUUUGCUGGCCUACGUGCUAAUCAUCCCUGAAAACACUUUACAAACACACCCAGCCUUGAGCUUUAUCCAUCUGAUAGUGUAACCCUUGUACGAGGGAUCCUAGAGGAUGUUGUAUAUCGCAGAAAAUCCACUACAUUGUCGGCUUUUACAGAAGAAAUGGGAGAUACACAUGCAGCAAUCUCAAUGACCAAGGUUACUCAAGCAGAAGUUUUCCAUACUAAUAAAUGUCAGGAAGCAAAUGAUUACCACUUCGAGCACCUCUUACAAUUGUAGAGGCCAAAGCACCUGUGGCUGAGAGGAGUUUGUAAGUGGUAGAAGAGGUUCCAGAAAGUUCUGACAAAGACGACCUACAGAGCUGUGCAUGAAUCCUCCCCGCUCUCAUUCACUUUGCCAGUUACGAUAAAUCACAUUUAUAUUCUAUUUUCUUCAGUCAUUAAACAA